rnacentral:lncRNA from 1 species
UCUACGUUUGUGGCAUAUUUUAACUCUUUGAAGCCAAUUUAACUUACCUGAUUUCCAUAUUCUUAGCUGAAGCUCCAUUUCCAGUCCUACAAUCUAACCACAGUCUAUUCUGUCUUAUCAGGGGCUCUAAAGUUCACAUAGACUGAGAGAAGGGAGAAGGUGACAUCUACCCUCAUUGUGGUUUUAGAGCCGCCUGUUCUAAAGUUGAAAUUGAUGAUAUGACAAGCACUCACAAGGAAAAUUCUUGAAUUCCAUUUGUUCAUCCAACAAACAUUUAUGGAUUGCAGAGAUGUAAGCUAUGACAGACACAGAAUCAAGUGGGGCCUAGGAAUCUGUGUUUUCAAUGAAUUUUCCAGGGAUAAAUUCUAUUUAAACAGCGAUUGAAUUAAAAAUACAAUCAGAUAAU